rnacentral:rRNA from 1 species
CAGGGAAUCUUGCGCAAUGGGCGAAAGCCUGACGCAGCAACGCCGCGUGUGGGAUGAAUGCCUUCGGGUUGUAAACCACUUUCAGCGGGGACGAAAUUGACGGUACCCGCAGAAGAAGCCCCGGCCAACUACGUGCCAGCAGCCGCGGUAAUACGUAGGGGGCGAGCGUUGUCCGGAUUUAUUGGGCGUAAAGAGCUCGUAGGUGGUUUGAUAAGUCGGAUGUGAAAUCUCCAGGCUCAACCUGGAGCUGCCAUUCGAUACUGUCAUGACUUGAGUCCGGUAGGGGACCACGGAAUUCCUGGUGUAGCGGUGAAAUGCGCAGAUAUCAGGAGGAACACCGGUGGCGAAGGCGGUUCUCUGGGCCUUACCUGACGCUGAGGAGCGAAAGCGUGGGGAGCAAACAG